AUGAAUGCUGGCGGCGUGCCUAACACAUGCAAGUCGAGCGGCAGCGAGUUUUACACUGAAUUCUGGAAGCUUCUGAGUAGUACAGAAGAUUUAUUCAAGAGUUUUGUGUAAAAUGUCGGCGAGCGGCGGACGGCUGAGUAACGCGUAGGAAUUUGCCCCAAAGUGAGGAAUAACUGCCCGAAAGGGUAGCUAAUGCCGCAUAUGGUCUUCGUAUUAAAGCCUUCGGGCGCUUUGGGAGAAGCCUGCGUUGGAUUAGGUAGUUGGUAGGGUAAUGGCCUACCAAGCCGACGAUCCAUAGCUGGUCUGAGAGGAUGAUCAGCCAGACUGGAACUGAGACACGGUCCAGACUCCUACGGGAGGCAGCAGUGAGGAAUCUUCCACAAUGGGCGAAAGCCUGAUGGAGCAACGCCGCGUGAAGGAUGAAGGCCUUCGGGUUGUAAACUUCUUUUAUGAGUGAAGAAUAUGACGGUAACUCAUGAAUAAGCACCGGCUAACUACGUG
rnacentral:rRNA from 1 species